GAUGAACGCUGGCGGCGUGCCUAACACAUGCAAGUCGAACGGAGUAUUAAGAAGUUUUCGGACGGAUUAAUGCUUAGUGGCGGACGGGUGAGUAACGCGUGGGUAACCUGCCUCAUACAGGGGGAUAACAGUUGGAAACGGCUGCUAAAACCGCAUAAGCAUACACUGCCGCAUGGUAGAGUGUGAAAAUAUUAAUAGGUAUGAGAUGGGCCCGCGUCUGAUUAGCUAGUUGGUGGGGUAAUAGCCUACCAAGGCAACGAUCAGUAGCCGGCUUGAGAGAGUGACCGGCCACAUUGGGACCGAGACACGGCCCAAACUCCUACGGGAGGCAGCAGUGGGGAAUAUUGCACAAUGGGGGAAACCCUGAUGCAGCGACGCCGCGUGAGUGAAGAAGUAUUUCGGUAUGUAAAGCUCUAUCAGCAGGGAAGAAAAUGACGGUACCUGACUAAGAAGCCCCGGCUAACUACGUGCCAGCCGCCGCGGUAACAC
rnacentral:rRNA from 1 species